rnacentral:rRNA from 1 species
GAUGAACGCUGGCGGCGUGCCUAAUACAUGCAAGUCGAGCGAACGGACGAGAAGCUUGCUUCUCUGAUGUUAGCGGCGGACGGGUGAGUAACACGUGGAUAACCUACCUAUAAGACUGGGAUAACUUCGGGAAACCGGAGCUAAUACCGGAUAAUAUUUUGAACCGCAUGGUUCAAAAGUGAAAGACGGUCUUGCUGUCACUUAUAGAUGGAUCCGCGCUGCAUUAGCUAGUUGGUAAGGUAACGGCUUACCAAGGCAACGAUGCAUAGCCGACCUGAGAGGGUGAUCGGCCACACUGGAACUGAGACACGGUCCAGACUCCUACGGGAGGCAGCAGUAGGGAAUCUUCCGCAAUGGGCGAAAGCCUGACGGAGCAACGCCGCGUGAGUGAUGAAGGUCUUCGGAUCGUAAAACUCUGUUAUUAGGGAAGAACAUAUGUGUAAGUAACUGUGCACAUCUUGACGGUACCUAAUCAGAAAGCCACGGCUAACUACGUGCCAGCAGCCGCGGUAAUACGUAGGUGGCAAGCGUUAUCCGGAAAUAUUGGGCGUAAGCGCGCGUAGGCGGUUUUUUAGUCUGAUGUGAAAGCCCACGGCUCCACCCGUGGAGGGUCAUUGGAAACUGGAAAACUUGAGUGCAGAAGAGGAAAGUGGAAUUCCAUGUGUAGCGGUGAAAUGCGCAGAGAUAUGGAGGAACACCAGUGGCGAAGGCGACUUUCUGGUCUGUAACUGACGCUGAUGUGCGAAAGCGUGGGGAUCAAACAGGAUUAGAUACCCUGGUAGUCCACGCCGUAAACGAUGAGUGCUAAGUGUUAGGGGGUUUCCGCCCCUUAGUGCUGCAGCUAACGCAUUAAGCACUCCGCCUGGGGAGUACGACCGCAAGGUUGAAACUCAAAGGAAUUGACGGGGACCCGCACAAGCGGUGGAGCAUGUGGUUUAAUUCGAAGCAACGCGAAGAACCUUACCAAAUCUUGACAUCCUUUGACAACUCUAGAGAUAGAGCCUUCCCCUUCGGGGGACAAAGUGACAGGUGGUGCAUGGUUGUCGUCAGCUCGUGUCGUGAGAUGUUGGGUUAAGUCCCGCAACGAGCGCAACCCUUAAGCUUAGUUGCCAUCAUUAAGUUGGGCACUCUAAGUUGACUGCCGGUGACAAACCGGAGGAAGGUGGGGAUGACGUCAAAUCAUCAUGCCCCUUAUGAUUUGGGCUACACACGUGCUACAAUGGACAAUACAAAGGGCAGCGAAACCGCGAGGUCAAGCAAAUCCCAUAAAGUUGUUCUCAGUUCGGAUUGUAGUCUGCAACUCGACUACAUGAAGCUGGAAUCGCUAGUAAUCGUAGAUCAGCAUGCUACGGUGAAUACGUUCCCGGGUCU